rnacentral:rRNA from 1 species
AAUGAACGUUGGCGGCGUGGAUUAGGCAUGCGAGUCGAGCGAGAACCCAGCAAUGGGGGACAGCGGCGAAAGGGACAGUAAUGUGUAGAUCAUCUGCCCUCAGGUCCGGGAUAGCUGCGGGAAACUGCAGGUAAUACCGGAUAACAUCUCCGGAUCAAAGGUGUGAUUCCGCCUGAGGAUGAGUCUACAUCCUAUUAGCUAGUUGGUGGGGUAAUGGCCUACCAAGGCGAUGAUGGGUAGCGGGUGUGAGAGCACGACCCGCGUCAUUGGGACUGAGACACUGCCCAGACACCUACGGGUGGCUGCAGUCGAGAAUCUUCGGCAAUGGGCGCAAGCCUGACCGAGCGACGCCGCGUGCGGGAUGAAGGCCUUCGGGUUGUAAACCGCUGUCAGAGGGGAUGAAAUGCAGGUGGGUUCUCCCAUCUGUUUGACAUAGCCUCAGAGGAAGGACGGGCUAAGUUCGUGCCAGCCGCCGCGGUAAAAC